GCACCUCUGCGGUGUUCGUGUGCGGCUGGGUAUUAUCCUUGAGCUAAUAAACGACCCCGGGAGCUGAGUAGUGUAUGCGCUUGUGCAGGUCCGUCUUGUCACGGAAAGCCUUCCGUAUACCCGAGGCACCCACUUGAACGAUCGGUUCAAGGUUGAAAGUCUGCCACGGCAUUUGUGCGGAGUGUG
rnacentral:other from 1 species